rnacentral:lncRNA from 10 species
GAGAUGGCUGCGGGGAUGUAUUUGGAACAUUAUCUGGACAGUAUUGAAAACCUUCCCUUUGAAUUACAGAGAAACUUUCAGCUCAUGAGGGACCUAGACCAAAGAACAGAGGGUAUGUAUAGAGUAAAAAGUUUUUGUAUCUAAUGAGUGUGUGUAAUCAUUUAUUUUUCUACUUGAUGUUACCGUAUCAUCUGGUAUGAUCUGGAGAACUGUGGCUUCUCUCGCUCCUUUUUUACGCUCUUGGAAUUCUUAAAACAGGAUAAUGAUCCUCAUUUCUGUGUCAGCUUUUUCAUAACAAAUAGAGUAUUGUGAAAACGCCUCAAGAAUUCAAAGAUGCUGUGUUCUUUAUGUCUUCCUGGAGAAUAAUUAGCCAGGCUGGCUCACACCUGUAAUCCCAGCAC